UACGUAGGGUGCAAGCGUUGCCCGGAUUUAUUGGGCGUAAAGGGCGCGUAGGCGGCUCGGCACGUCCGUUGUGAAAUCGCCCGGCUCAACUGGGCGGGGUCAGCGGAUACGGUCGAGCUUGAGCAAGCUAGGGGGCAAUGGAAUUCCCGGUGUAGUGGUGGAAUACGUAGAUAUCCGGAGGAACACCAGCGGCGAAGGCG
rnacentral:rRNA from 1 species